GAUGAACGCUGGCGGCGUGCCUAAUACAUGCAAGUCGAGCGAACGGACGAGAAGCUUGCUUCUCUGAUGUUAGCGGCUGACGGGUGAGUAACACGUGGAUAACCUACCUAUAAGACUGGGAUAACUUCGGGAAACCGGAGCUAAUACCGGAUGAUAUUUUGAACCGCAUGGUUCAAAAGUGAUAGACGGUCUUGCUGUCACUUAUAGAUGGAUCCGCGCUGCAUUAGCUAGUUGGUAAGGUAACGGCUUACCAAGGCAACGAUGCAUAGCCGACCUGAGAGGGUGAUCGGCCACACUGGAACUGAGACACGGUCCAGACUCCUACGGGAGGCAGCAGUAGGGAAUCUUGCGCAAUGGGCGAAAGCCUGACGGAGCAACGCCGCGUGAGUGAUGAAGGUCUUCGGAUCGUAAAACUCUGUUAUUAGGGAAGAACAUAUGUGUAAGUAACUGUGCACAUCUUGACGGUACCUAAUCAGAAAGCCACGGCUAACUACGUG
rnacentral:rRNA from 1 species